rnacentral:rRNA from 1 species
ACGAACGCUGGCGGCGUGCUUAACACAUGCAAGUCGAACGGAAAGGCCCCAGCUUGCUGGGGUACUCGAGUGGCGAACGGGUGAGUAACACGUGGGUGAUCUGCCCUGCACUCUGGGAUAAGCCUGGGAAACUGGGUCUAAUACCGGAUAGGACCGUGCUUUAGUGUGUGCGGUGGAAAGUUUUUCGGUGCAGGAUGAGCCCGCGGCCUAUCAGCUUGUUGGUGGGGUAAUGGCCUACCAAGGCGGCGACGGGUAGCCGGCCUGAGAGGGUGUACGGCCACAUUGGGACUGAGACACGGCCCAGACUCCUACGGGAGGCAGCAGUGGGGAAUAUUGCACAAUGGGCGCAAGCCUGAUGCAGCGACGCCGCGUGGGGGAUGACGGCCUUCGGGUUGUAAACCCCUUUCGGCAGGGACGAAGCUUUUGUGACGGUACCUGCAGAAGAAGCACCGGCUAACUACGUG